AAAACUAGCCAGUCUUUUGGGUAUGAAACCCAUUUGGGCGAGAGUAGUACUAGGAUGGGUGACCUCCUCGGAAGUCCUCGUGAAAGGGUUUC
rnacentral:rRNA from 1 species